GACGAACGCUGGCGGCGUGCCUAAUACAUGCAAGUCGAGCGGAUGGAAGGAAGCUUGCUUCCUAAAGUCAGCGGCGGACGGGUGAGUAACACGUGGGCAACCUGCCCCUAAGAUCGGGAUAACUUCGGGAAACCGGAGCUAAUACCGGAUAUGAUUAUGUCUCACAUGAGACAUAAUGGAAAGACGGUUUCGGCUGUCACUUAGGGAUGGGCCCGCGGCGGAUUAGCUAGUUGGUGAGGUAACGGCUCACCAAGGCGACGAUGCGUAGCCGAACCGAGAGGGUGAACGGCCACACUGGGGCUGGGACACGGCCCAGACUCCUACGGGAGGUAGCAGUAGGGAAUCUUCCGCAAUGGACGAAAGUCUGACGGAGGAACGCCGCGUGAGUGAAGAAGGUUUUCGGAUCGUAAAACUCUGUUGUUAGGGAAGAAUAAGGGGCGGGCUAACAUCCCGUUCCGAUGACGGUACCUCGAGAGGAAGCACCGGCUAACUCUGUGCCAGCCGCCGCGGUAACAC
rnacentral:rRNA from 1 species